rnacentral:lncRNA from 1 species
AUGCAGUCACCCUGCCUCUCUUGCCAGUGGGCCGCUCCCUCCUCUCCCAGACCCUCGGCCAUCACAGAAGACUGGGCCUUUACACGUGGUUUAUUCUGUGCUGCGGGCUCUUCAGAACACAUGACCUGGAGAAAUGAGCUCUCGGCAGACCCUGUCCUGGGCCUGUGCAGCACACACUGGCAAAGAGUGAGUGUGUCCGUCACCAAGAUGGAAAAGCCGAGGCUCCGAGAGGACGGCCAGCUCCCCCGGAGCACCGAGCGAGUCAGUGGCACAGGCCACGUCAGCCAUCCCCGUGCUGUCACAGGCAGUCCCAGCCACGCCCUCUUUGGCCACACAGGAAAACACUGCUUUUCCACAGUCAGAUCUCCUCCCCAGCCUCGGGGUCGGGCCUGGAGCCUGGCAUGGACAAUCAGCUCGCCCCAACUCUCCAGUGCCCAGGGAGCAGAACACCGGUGAAGAUGAAUUGAGGCGGCACAGACGAAAAUGUGGGAUUUGGAGACCGGAAUGUCGUGGGCGCCCAGCGCAUGACUGGCUGUGCGUCCUUCACAUGAUGCCCACGGAGCGCAAGGUUCAUCGUGGACCAAUCAGCUGAUGCCCAGUGGGCAAAAGGGAGCAGAAGACGUGGCGGUGGUGAGAGCCCAAGACAGUGACAGAGAAGAAGAAGUUCGUGCGGACGAGACGAGACCUGGGCAAGUCCUGGAAGACAAAGAGGAGUUUAUCAGACGACCAGGAAGAGCGUCGGCACUCGCGCUGCGAGGAGGGUGGUGAAGCAUGUGAACGGGUGGCAUCUGUCCGCUCAAGCGGGCACACGGGACAGACCCGCAGGACGGCCCGCAAACAGAACAGGAGCAGCCGACUCCGCGACCACACCGGCGUGUGUCCAGGGG